GAGAUUCGCUUGAACCACCAAAGACGCGACUUGACAAAAGAAUUCCGUGCAUACCAAUAGGAACAAGUCCAUUCAGUCAGUUUACAUUCGGACGCGGCGGUGGCUAAAAGUGUUGCAAAUUGUCAAGCGGAUGAAAAAGGACUUUGCUUUGAAUAAAAUAGCAGCACAUAGCAGAGCAUAGUAGAGCAUAGCAGAGACCAACUAAGUGCACUGUGUAUACAUAUGUAAUAUAUUAUAUCAUAUAUAUUUACAUUGCGUAUGUGCGCUUCGUGUGUUUAAAGUUGUAAGCUCGUAAUUUGCGUGCUACAAAGGAAACGGAAAUUGCUAACGUAAAUUACACAGAUCAUUAAAGCGUUUUUCAGCGAACGACGGCAAAGAAAACGCAGAAAAAGAAGAAAAAACAUACAUUACAAAAACAUAUAAAAGCGACCGAAAAAUAAUCGAAACAUUUAAAAUCUUGAGUGCAACUGUUACGUCUAUUACGCUUCACGUAUCGUUGUUGUUGUUAUUGUGAAACGUUGCAAACUAAAAAAAUUAUAAGAAAAAUGAGGUGUUUACUUUUGAUUGCCACCAUUUGUCUGGUGUUGAUGUCAUCCGGUCUGAGUGGCGCUGAUGCCAAGAAGAAGAAAUAUGUUGGCGAAAAUGGCGGCGAUUUCGAGUUUAUCGAUGAGAUAAAUAAAAACUCGCAGGUUCCCUCGAAGAGCAGCAAUGGCGAGCGCAAGCGCUGGAUUCACGAUCCUACAAGUGACCUUUGCCGGCCAUUAAAUUGCAAGAAGCGUGAAAUUUGUUUGCUGGAGGAUGAGUACAGUGCUGUGUGUGUGUCGAAGCGUGACUUACACAAGAAUCGUGAUGAAAUAAUCACGAAAGCCAAGUACUUGGAAGAGGAGGCGGCUAAGCGGCGCGCCAAUAAGGAUAACGGCAACAACAACAUUAAUAUUAACAACAACAGCGACAAUGACAAUGAUGAUGAGGAUGCGAAGAACUUCAGCUCGGACGAGGAGUCCCGUGAGGAUGAUGUCUUCUAUGAGAACAACAACACAGCCGGGGAUAAGGAUGACGAAGAAGACGAAGACAAUUGCAAGCCCUGCCCGGUGGCAAAGCCGACUUUCUUAUGCGGCGCCGACAACCGUACAUACUCAUCGCUAUGCAGAUUGGAUUACCACAACUGCAUACAUUCAACAACCAUAAGGAUAGCGUGCAAGGGUUUCUGUCCAUGCAAGGAAAAUAUGGAUGGCAAACGAUUACAGCGUCUCAGUGAGCGUCAAAGUGCUUUUAAUGCCAAAUAUAAGAAGACCAUUGAGCAACAACAGCAGCAGCAGCAACAACAGCAAAAACAACAAAUGCAACAACAAUUAAUGUACAAGGAUAACAGCAAUAGCAACAACAUUAUGGGCAACUCAAAUGACAAUUUGGACAACACUUUGAAUAGCAACAAUUUUAAUGCUAUUAUGGACGAUAAGGACGAUAACAAUCGCCAUUACAAUCACAUAAAUUCGCAAUUCACAUUUACACCGGAGGAAAUCAAAUACGAUAACAAACACUAUAAGUAUCUCAAGUACACCGCCUACAAGAAGGACAACCAAUACCCCGAGGACAAGCACAAAAUUCGUGGCUAUAAUGAGGUGGUCGAGAAACCACAAAAGUACAACAAAAAUAGCAUGAACAAUGGUUUCCUACCCUCCAAAUCGCCCGAAUGUAAGCCACAACAAUUGACCGCCAUCGGCAAUCGCUUGCUUGACUGGUUCUCCGUUAUAAUGGCCGACAGUAAGAAACGACGACAACAUAGCCAAAAAUCUAAGGCGCACUUUCCACCCGCUUGCAAGACCGAGGCCAAAUGGAUGUUCGGCCACUUGGAUUUAAACAACGACGGCUAUUUGUCGCUGCAGGAAAUGUACGACUUGGAGCAUGAUCAGAAUGAGCGUUGCAUUAAACCGUUCAUUGAUACGUGCGACUUGGAUCAGGAUAAUUCGAUUAAUACGCGCGAAUGGUGCCGCUGCUUCGAGAAGACCGAUCGCCCAUGCGCCGCGGUACGACGAAGAAUCGCUGGCGAUUUUGCAGGUGAGAUAGUACGAAUGAAAAGAGCGCAACGAAACGAAUAAGAAAAAUGAAUUAAGGAUAUAUUAAAUUAGACACAGAUUCAACGUUUUUUUAGCUCAAUUCUAUUUUAAUAACUGCAAUGAAGCUUUCGACAUGUUUGCACUUUGCAUCGCACUAUGGAGCUUUCACUUAUAUCAUAUCAAAGCUUUCACAUAUUUAAGAGCUUUUUAAGUUAUAGCAGCUUUUCCAAUUAUUAUGCUUAAUACAAUAAAAUCAAAUUGCAUUACAUUUUCAUGAUUACUUGUUAAUUACAUAUUUUCAAAAUAUACGCGUAUAAAUUACGUAAACUUUUCUUAGUUACAUACAUACAUAUACUCUUACGUUUUUAUUAUAUUAUAUACUUUUUAUAGCUUUGGUUCUUCAAUUAACUAAUAAACAUUUUAAUCCGCUUGUGCUAUACAUUGUAUCUAUAAAGAAAAUAUUAAUCAAAAUUCGACUCAAAGCUUUCUAACUUUCAUAUGAAAAUUUCCAUUACUCGUUAAUGCUUCCAUCGGCAUUUGUCGCUUCGUUGCUGUCACUCUUCCACUCAUGUCAUAAAAGGCGCCUAUGCACCCGAUUGCGAUAUUCAGGGUUUCUAUAAACCCACCCAAUGUCAUAAUUCUGUCGGUGUUUGCUGGUGUGUGGAUAAGCAUGGAGUUGAAUUCGCCAACACACGUACUCGUGGCAAGCCCAAUUGUGAGUCCGUUGUGAAUAACGCCUCAUCACUCACCUCCGACGAUGAGGACGAGGAGACCGACGACGACGACAGUGCGGAAGGAAGUGCCGAUCAAAUGUUGGUAUUCUAAAUGAAAUGAAAUGAAAUGAAACUAAGUGGCAGAGUUUGAAAACGCUCAACACGAAAGAGGUGUGGAAGGGAGUGGUAUACCGAAAGCUUACUUGAAGAGACACGUGGUGAUGGAUGCAGUGCGAAGGGGCAAAACGAAGCGCAGUGAAGUGUAAGAAAAAAGGAUAUCUCAAACUUACGAUUUUUAUUUGAAGCAUUACAUAAGUAAAUACAAGUAUAUAGACAUAAAUAAAAGACAUAAGAAAAAUGCUGCAUAAGCAGGUAACAAGUGUUGGCGCAAAUUGCAGAAGAAGAAAAAUAAAAUUAUAAAACAACAACGUAAAAGUAGCGAAAGCGCAGAAAACGAGGUUAAAAUUGGAAAAUAUUUGCGCAAUGGAAAAUUAAUUUUGUAUGUAAAUUAAUUUUUAUAAAAAAAAAAAUAUUAAUAUAAGUAUACAUACAUAUAUGUAUACUCGUACAUAAAAAAGUUAUAAAACUAUUGUAAAAUUAUUACAAAAACAAUCGUAACAAUUAGCGUAUUAAUUUUCAUUAAACUCUCCUCAUUUUCUUUAUACGCUAACACCUAAUUGCACAAGGUUGCAUUGCGCUCACACUUGGUACACCGCACGCAAUCGCAUGUAAUAAUUUUAGUAACUAAUGCAAACUAGUAAGAUUGGCAUAGAGGGAAAGUACGCUGCAGAGUUUUGAAGCUUAUGCAAAUUUACGAAAAAUUAAGAAAACGAACGAAAAACAAAAUUAAAUUAAUUUAAAAGUAAUGGUAAAGUGGAACUGCAACGUGUUGUGUGUUGUUUAUGUAAAGAAAAAAAGUAAAUUAAAAACAUACCUGCUAGCUUUGGAGUAGUAAGCACUUACACACAUACAGAGAGAGAAAUACAUUGGCACAUAUAAAAUUCGUCACACACACAUACACACACACAUACACAUGCAUACACCAUCACUCAUACGACAAUGCAACAAAAUGGCGAUAAACACAAGCGAAUAACAAACAAAAAAGCGAAACAAAAAGUGAACCAUCUAACUCCCACACAAGCAAUACUCUCUGAUUAAUUUUAUUGGUUGAAUUCUCAUGCCGUCGUUAGCUUAUAAAGUGUAGCAAAUUAGAAGAAAGCUAAAUAUAAAAUAAAUAUAAUUAAAAAACGUAAAAUAAAAAAGUAUAAUGAAAUUUAUAAAAAGUCAAAGUUGAAGAGCAAAAAGUUAGCGCCUAAGAUGUUGGUCAACUCAUUCUCGACACAAAUAAUAAUUUUUAAUCUUACAUACAUAUAUACUUACAUAUACUAUAUACAUACAUACAUGCAUAUACAUAAAUUUUCUUCUGCUUUUAUUUUUCACAUUUCACAUUUCAAAUUUGUUAUUCUACAUAUUCCGUUAGACAAACUUAUGUAUCGUACACGCUAAAAUUCCGCCCAAUGAAUUUUGUGAUAAGUUUUCAAAAAAAAAAAUAAUUAUAAUAAUUAAAAAAACAACAACUAAAGAAAAAACAAUGCAAUUGCACGUUAAUAUGAUGCAUUCAAGGAAACGCGAAAAGGUGAAAAAUAAAACACGCCAGAAAAUAAUUUAGAAUGACACACACAUACAUAAACACAGUAAUACCCAAACACUGCAAGUUUGUUUGGACUCAGCUUAAGUUGCAACUUUAAAGCAAACAAAAACUUUAAUAAAUACAUAUUUACUUAUCUAAACAAAGAAUGGAGCGCAGUAAUGCAGCCGCAAAUAAAAAAAUAUAUAAGAAAGAAGAAUAAGAGGCAGAAGAGGAGUAGUAAGAAAAAGAGCCAACAUUUGCGCUGUCAGCUGCUGCAAAGUUUACAUGAAAGCAUAAUAACUAAGUGACAGUAAUAAAUUAAUAAAUAAAAGAGUAAUUAAUGUGAAACUGCUACCUACCUUAUAAAAUGGAAAGAGUUGCCAACAUAGUUGUAUUUAAUGAAACCAAUGAUAAGCUUUUUGAGUGUACGAGUAAAGUGUUGAUAAAUAUGUGUAGUGCAAGUAGGAGAAAAAUGCCGCGCUAAAAAGGAUGAAAAUAAAUGAAUAUUAUAAAAAUUUAUAAAAAAAUACAUGCAGAUAUAUAAUUUUUAAUUAUUUAAUUAUACAAACCGCUUAAUUUAUUCGCAAUGGAAUUAAGAGCUUAUACACGAGCUUUCAGUUUUAGCUUUCCAUUCCAUUUACCUUCUGUUCAGAUAAAAACUUGAGUAACAUAAAAAUGGUUAUUAUUUCAGCUGCCUUAGAAAUCACCAGCAAAUAUUUGUGAAACAAGCAAAAGAAUGUCUAAAGCUUUCAUGUAUGCUGUCAUAAAUCAUUAUCAAAAAAAUGCAUAAAACUUAAUUUUCACAAAAUUUCAAGCUAAUAAAUGUAAAAAAUAAUUGUCACACUUUAUUAGCACAAAUGUAGAGAAGGGUUUGGAAUUCGUGUAAGCUUUCAUGGAGGCUUUCUUGAAAAAUAUAUAUAUUUAACCACUAUAAACACAAAGAGUGUAGAAUAUUUUCAAAUUUGAAAGCUUCUAUUUUUAUUACACACAAACUUAUUGAAAUCAUAAAUUAACAACUUUUAGUUGAGCUUUCACAAAUAUCAGAUAUUACGUAUUCAAAUAUGAGUGUAACAAUUUACAAAAAAGUCUUAAAAAGCACUCAUCAAUUUAGUUUGAUUUCUUUUUUAUAUAAAAAUGAUACAAUUUUGGUGAUACCAGAAAGAUUUAUAUAAGAACUUUGUGAAAGUUCAUUUGUUUCAGAAAUACAAUGCAGCUAGUGCUUACAUGAUUCAGUAAAUCAGUAGAGUUGUCACUAAACUAAUGUUCAAAAAUGCCAACAAAAGCUUAGAUUUCAAAAAGUAAACUCCUCUAAAGUUUCAAAUUGCGGUGGAAUUGAUUUUAGAUUCUGCUAAACAAAAUUUAAAAAAAAAAUACUGUGGUAGCAGAAACUUUUAGAACUUCGAAGAAAUCAAAACAUACUUUUACAAAAAGAUAUAGUUAAGCUUUCGAAAAAACACUGUACAAAAUUUACGAUGAAUUAACUGAAUCAAAGUUUUUAAAGAGUGAUAAAUAUGGUAUUUUUCAUGGGAGCUUUCACUUGAGCUUUCCUAUUUUACAAUAAACGAAUAAGUUCAAAGGCUUAAAUUAAAAAAAUAUUACAACUUUUUCUAUUCGAUAGUGGGGUUUAUAUUUUUUGUGGUGUAUAUUGCUUGGGACGAGCGUCACUCGUAAGUUUCAUUCGUUUUAACAGCAAAACAUAGUAACAGCUUUGAAUAAAAAUUAAUUGCAUUCGAUUUUUUAUUGCUUGACACACAUUUUUAUUGCUGCUAAGGAAAUCUUCAAUGCUUUUGGAUUGAUAAUUAUGCGUUUGUGCUAUAUUUUCUUUAUAGUUGAAAGAAAUAAAGUCUAUGCAAAAAGGCACACCGUUAAAGUUUACAAAAAGUAUGCUGUAAGUAGUAGAAAAUAUAAAUAUAUAUGAAUGUAUGUAUGUUUACGAAGCUAGUUCAGAGAACAGAUUAGAGUGCUUAGUAGGAGGGAAAGAUUUAGAAAAAGCUAAGCAAAUUAAAUGAGGAAUGCGAAAAAUUACAGUAAAAAAGAGAACAUACAACAACAGAAACACAGCAAAGCGUAAAGUGCAAAAAUCAGAUAUUAUUACAACACAAUUUGUGACUAUGAAGAGAAAUAAUAGAGACAAAAAUAAAGAAACAAGCUGAACACGAAGCAGAUGAAACUGAUGAUCAAUACAAUUAAGUGAACAUAAAAUUAAAAAAAAAAAAAAUAGCAAAAAACACACUAAACAAAAGCGGUGUGUGAAACCUUCAAUUAUAAGCAUUUUUAGCCAAUAAUAAUUACCGUAAUUGCAACUUUGAUAAUAUUCGAGAGAAAAUUGAAAAAUAAAUGCUUAAAUGCAACUUAGCAAAUACCUGCGUUUGCUGGAAAUGAAAAAAAAAAGAAAUAAAAACUUAUAAGAUGCAAAGCAAAAGCAAAUUGAAGUGAA